CCCCCCCCCCCCCCCCAAACCAAACCCCAACCCCCAGGAUAAAUACACACACCUCAGUGGCCUCAGUUCACACGCCUCUUCGUCAUCCUCUUCCUAGACGGCUGAAUCCUGAAUAUUGGUACGGCCAGGAUCCUCUCCUGUCCUCUCCGGGGACCGGAGAGGAUCCCUGUUCCGUAUUGCUUCUCUCUCUUUUUCCCAAUUUCUGUCUCGAUUAGUCCUUAGCUUUCUACUCCGUUACCGAUUAGCCGGCGGUACACCGAUCGAGGCCAGGAUCCGUGUCAACCGGAUCCGAAGAAGCCCGAAGAAAUCAAACAGGAGUUCCUUCUAUGUUCCAACAAUUUGAAGAACUUGGGAGCUUUCAUGAACGUCCGAGAGAGUGGGAUCAUCUAUGUUGUGGGGUUGGAGUUGCAUUAUCGGCAUUGACAAUUCAACAUGCAAAUUGUUCAUAUCAGAGUGAAAUAUGCACGAGGGCUUGUGGACACAAGGUUUUUCGAAUGGGAAAGUGCCUGACUUUUCGCUAGUCUAUACAUAUUGAAGAACAGUUUCGUUUUCCUUGGAAUUUGAAGACAUGUGGCUAUGAUGAUCACGUUGGCAAAGCUAUUUAAUGCAUAAGGAUUUGCGUACGUUGGUUGAUCAAUUCAUGCAAUAAGGGCAAGGUAUUAUUGAUCUGUUGCUGAAAUUGAAUACGGAGUAUUAGUUUUUCCAUGACAUUAGAAUAACAUAAAUCGCCACGAAAAUUUGAACUACGAAUCUCAGAAGGCGCCUCAUCUGCAAAUGAUUAUCUUCCAAAGAGUAGGCAGUUAUGCUAGCAGAGCCGCCAAGGUGUAGCAAAAGCAACGGUGCCCAUAUGACCCAUUGCUAUUUUCAUGAUCGCCUUGGGCAUCUGAGAGCUUGCCGAGAGCAACUGUUGCCGCCGCCAUUAAGUAGGCCAACUAGACUAGGGCACUAAUCCAUGGUGAUGAUAUAUACUUUCUACGAUUGCCGAAUAUGGGAAGAAUGACUUGUAAAGUGAGACUGAGUAGAACUAGUAUUCGAAGGUAUCACACAUCCUAGAGUCUCCUUACCCAUAUUAAGAAUCGGAUCCAUGUUAGAGUGAGAUGGAUUUGAUUUCGACAUUGGUGAGGAGACUCUGGGACGUGCGGGACCUCCAGAUACUGGUUCUACUUAGUCUCGCUUUACAAAUCAUUCUUUCCAUAUUUGGCAAUCGUAGAAAAUAUAUAUCAUCAUUAUGGAUUAGUGUCCUAGCUUGGUCAGCCUACUUAAUGGUUGAUGGUUGCAACAAUUGCUCUUGGCAAGCUCUCAGAUGCCCAAGGCGAUUAUGCAAAUAGCAAUAGAUUAUGGGCCAUAUGGGCACCGUUGCUUUUGCUACACCUUGGUGGCCCUAAUAACACAACUGCUUACUCUUUGGAAGAUAAUCAUUUCUGGGAUUAGUGGUUCAAAUUUUCUUGGCGAUUUAUAUUAUUCUAAUGUCGUGGAAAAAUUCAUGGUUCUCGUUCAUGUCGAUCCGGUGUUAGUAGCGGGAAUUAUCAAGUACGGGGAGACUACGUGGAUUCUCAAGUGGGUGAGCGACGAUAAAUACAAUGAUAUUAUACCCUUGGUGAUAUUGGAGAUUGUUAUGAUUAGUUUUGGCCUCGUAAACUUUGAAGGAAAUUGGGAAUUGUUGGGAGAGUUAUGGCUAUUAUGAUAUUACGAACCCUUUCCCAUGGGUUAAUAUCGAAGUUACUAAUAACUUGCAUCUAAUAACUUGUGUGAUGCAGUGGAGGUUUAAAUGGGACUCCUGUAUGAUUCUUUAUAUACAAAGGCAACCAAAGUAUAUGGCAAGGGAGGUUGUAUUUGCAACCAAAGUAUAAAGCAAGGGAGGUUGUAUUUUGCUUUGGAU